GCCCUUAUAGUUUAACGGACAGAACGGAGGUCUCCUAAACCUCAAAUUCAGGUUCGACUCCUGGUAAGGGCG
rnacentral:tRNA from 1 species